GUGCCAGCAGCCGCGGUAAUACGUAGGUGGCAAGCGUUGUCCGGAUUUAUUGGGCGUAAAGCGAGCGCAGGCGGUUUUUUAAGUCUGAUGUGAAAGCCUUCGGCUCAACCGAAGAAGUGCAUCGNAAACUGGGAAACUUGAGUGCAGAAGAGGACAGUGGAACUCCAUGUGUAGCGGUGAAAUGCGUAGAUAUAUGGAAGAACACCAGUGGCGAAGGCGGCUGUCUGGUCUGUAACUGACGCUGAGGCUCGAAAGUAUGGGUAGCAAACAGGAUUAGAUACCCUGGUAGUCCAUACCGUAAACGAUGAAUGCUAAGUGUUGGAGGGUUUCCGCCCUUCAGUGCUGCAGCUAACGCAUUAAGCAUUCCGCCUGGGGAGUACGGCCGCAAGGCUGAAACUCAAGGGAAUUGACGGGGGCCCGCACAAGCGGUGGAGCAUGUGGUUUAAUUCGAAGCUACGCGAAGAACCUUACCAGGUCUUGACAUACUAUGCAAAUCUAAGAGAUUAGACGUUCCCUUCGGGGACAUGGAUACAGGUGGUGCAUGGUUGUCGUCAGCUCGUGUCGUGAGAUGUUGGGUUAAGUCCCGCAACGAGCGCAACCCUUAUUAUCAGUUGCCAGCAUUAAGUUGGGCACUCUGGUGAGACUGCCGGUGACAAACCGGAGGAAGGUGGGGAUGACGUCAAAUCAUCAUGCCCCUUAUGACCUGGGCUACACACGUGCUACAAUGGAUGGUACAACGAGUUGCGAACUCGCGAGAGUAAGCUAAUCUCUUAAAGCCAUUCUCAGUUCGGAUUGUAGGCUGCAACUCGCCUACAUGAAGUCGGAAUCGCUAGUAAUCGCGGAUCAGCAUGCCGCGGUGAAUACGUUCCCGGGCCUUGUACACACCGCCCGU
rnacentral:rRNA from 1 species